rnacentral:rRNA from 1 species
GACAGAGGGGGCAAGCGUUGCUCGGAAUUACUGGGCGUAAAGGGCGCGUAGGCGGUUUGUUGCGUCGGCUGUGAAAUCCCGAGGCUCAACCUCGGGUCUGCAGUCGAUACGAGCAAACUAGAGUGUUGCAGGGGGAGACUGGAAUUCCUGGUGUAGCGGUGAAAUGCGCAGAUAUCAGGAGGAACACCGGUGGCGAAGGCGGGUCUCUGGGCAACAACUGACGCUGAGGAGCGAAAGCGUGGGGAGCGAACGGG